rnacentral:lncRNA from 1 species
CCAUGUUGAACAUUAAUUUUUCAAUUUAUUUUUAUAUUUCUGUUCUUUCUCUGUAAAGUUUUAUGAAUUUUGCUCAAAAGUUAAUUUUUUAACACUUUUUUUUGUAGAUCUAUCUUGUCUCUAUAAAAAUCUUCUUUCAAUUUUGCUCAGUUAAUAAUAAUAUAUUAAAAUUGCUCAAAAUUUAUUUUGAUGUCGGGUGGUAAAUUAUUGGUGAGGCAUAUUGAUUUUUGGGACUGUAAUUGUGCGUUAAUUUGAUGAUGGGUGUUGCAAUUAGGUGGUGAUAGUGUUGUAACUUUUGGUGUCGUAUAACAAAGAAGAUUGAAUUGAAUGAAGUUAUUGUUUGAGUGUAUUGAUUUUAUAUCAACAAUGGAAGAAGAAGAUGACAUUAUGAUCGUUGGGAAAUUGAAGAAAAAGA